ensembl:lncRNA
UGCGUACUACAGGGUUCGGUCGCUGAACUACACUUUUUACCACACCCUACACGUCAACAUACCUUUGAUAUAGUAUCGCACAAAAUUACUCUUUUCAGUCUGUUACAUUUGAACUAAGAAGACAAAUCACACAGAGCUUUGCAAUACCGUUUGGUCUAUAUGGUUAUGACUUUAAACAGCCGAAGGAGGUGGUGUUUCAUUUCAAAAUAUGAGGCCAGAUGGACCGUAUUCCUCACCAUAUUAUAUGUAUGGUGCAUUGUUUGUGGAGGUACAACCUCCAUAACACCAACAACACCAAUUUCAACAGCCAGUGAAGUUUGUAUAAUAAGAACUAAAGCAUCUCUUACCACAGCUAUGAUCCUCAAACAAAAUACAUGCAUAGCUGCGACUUUCACAACUACAUCUCCAACAACUACUGAUUCAAUAUCAAUUGCAUCUACAACUGAGGCUCCUACAGAAAAUGUAUCUUCAGCAACAGCUACAGGUCAAACAGCAAUGUCAUUUUCAAUGACAACAGAAACUGGAGCUUUCACAACCACAGAUGUGAUCCCCACAACCACUCUCAUAUUCUCACCAAGUACAAAUGCACCAUCAACAGCAACAAAUGCUGCUUUAACAACAACAGCACCAUCAACAGAAACUGAAGCUUCCACAACCAUAGAUGUCAUUCCCACAACCACACAUAUAUCCUCACCAAGUACAACAAUAGCACCAUCAUCAGAAACCAACGCUUCCACAACCAUAGAGGUGACCCCCACAACCACACUUAUAUCCUCACCAAGUACAACUACACUUUCAACAGUAACAAAUGCUGCUUCAACAACAACAGCACCAUCAACAGAAACUGAAGCUUCCACAACCAUAGAGGUGACUACCACAACCACUCUCAUAUCCUUACCAAGUACAACAGCACCAUCAACAGAAACUGAAGUUUCCACAACCAAAGAGGUGACCCCCACAUCCUCUCUCAUAUCCUCACCAAGUACAACUGCAGCAUCAACAACAACAAAUGCUGCUUCAACAACAACAGCACCGUCAACGGAAACUGAAGCUUCCACAACCAUAGAUGUGACCCCCACAACCACUCUGGUAUCCUCACUAAAUACAACAACAGCACCAUCAAUAGAAACUGAAGCUUCCACAACCAAAGAGGUGACUACCACAACCACUCUCAUAUCCUCACCAAGUACAACAACAACAGCACCAUCAACAGAAACUGAAGCUUCCACAACUAGAGAGGUGACCCCCACAACCACUCUCAUAUCAUCACGAAGUUCAACAACAACAGCACCAUCAACAGAAACUGAAGCUUCCACAACUACAGAGGUGACCCCCACAACCACUCUCAUAUCAUCACGAAGUACAACAACAGUACCAUCAACAGAAACUGAAGCUUCCACAACUACAGAGGUGACACCAACAACCACUCUGAUAUCCUCACUAAAUACAACAACAGCACAAUCAACAGAAACUGAAGCUUCCACAACCAUAGAGGUGACCCCCACAACCACUCUCAUAUCCUCACCAAGUACAACAACAACAGCAACAUCAACAGAAACUGAGGCUUCCACAACCAUAGAUGUGACCCCCACAACCACUCUGAUAUCCUCACUAAAUACAACAACAGCAUCAUCAACAGAAACUGAGGCUUCCACAACCAUAGAGGUGACCCCCACAACCACUCUGAUAUCCUCACUAAGUACAACAACUACAGCACCAUCAACAGAAACUGAAGCUUCCACAACCAUAGAUGUGAUCCCCAUAACCACACUUAUAUCCUCACAAAGUACAACUGCACCAUCACCAGCAACAAAUGCUGCUUCAACAACAACAACAGCACCAUCAACAGAAACUGAAGCUUCCACAACUACAGAGGUGACCCCCACAACCACUCUCAUAUCAUCACGAAGUACAACAACAACAGCACCAUCAACAGAAACUGAAGCUUCCACAACUACAGAGGUGACCCCCACAACCACUCUCAUAUCAUCACGAAGUACAACAACAACAGCACCAUCUACAGAAACUGAGGCUUCCACAACCACACUCAUGUCUUCACCAAGUACAACUGCACCUUCAACAGUAACAAAUGCUGCUUCAACAACAACAACAGCACCAUCUUUAACAACUGAAGUUUCAACAACUGCAGAUCUGAACCCCACAACCAUGCCUGUAUUCUUUGCAUCUACAGCAACAGAUGAAGUUGCACUGUUUUCGACAACUGAAGCUUCUACAGCUGUGUCCCCCACAAACACUCUUAUAUCCUCAAUAACUGCUCCUAGAACAACUGCUGCUUCAACACCAUCCUCAACCAUUGAAGGUUAUACAACCACAGCUGUGACCUCCACAACCACUGUUAUAUUCUUAGAAACUACAACCACGGCAAAUACUGCUCAAACAACAACAUUUUCAAAAACAAAUGAAGCUUUAACCACCACAGCAGUGAAUCCCACAACUAUGCCUGUAUUCUCAAUACCUACAUCAAAAGAAAAUUCUGCUCCAACAAUAAUUCCACUGUCUUCGACAGCUGAAGCUUCUACUACCAAAGCUGUGAACCCCACAAAAACUCUUAUAUCAUCAGCAACUGCACCUACAACAACAACAAAUGCUGCUACAGCACAAUCUUUGACCACUGAAGGUUAUACAACCACUGCUGUGAACCCCACAACCACUCUUAUUUCUUCAGAAUCUAAAACAACAGCUUCUCCAACAACAUCAUUGUCAACAACAAAUAAAGCUACAACCACCACAGCAGUGAAUCCCACAAUAACGCCUGUAUUCUCAGUACCUGCAGCAACAGAAAAUGCUGCUCCAACAGAGACACCCUUGUCAACAAUUAAAAGUGAAGCUUAUACAACCACAGCUGUGACCCCCACAACCACAAUCAUAUCUUCACCAACUGCGACUGCACAAUCUUCAACAACUGAAGCUUCAACAAUCGCAGCCAGAAACCCCACAACCAUGCCUGUAUUCUCUCUACAUCCAGUGACAGAAAAUGUUGCUCCAACAACAACUCCACGGCCUUCGACAACUGAAGCUUCUACUACCAAAGCUGUGAACCCCACAACCACUCUUAUAUCCUCAGCAACUGCACCUACAACAACAACAAAUGCUGCUACAGCACAAUCUUUGACCACUGAAGGUUAUACAACCACAGCUGUGAACCCCACAACCACUCUUAUUUCUUCAGAAUCUAAAACAACAACUUCUCCAACAACACCAUUGUCAACAACAAAUAAAGCUACAACCACCACAGCAGUGAAUCCCACAAUAACGCCUGUAUUCUCAGUACCUACAGCAACAGAAAAUGCUGCUCCAACAGAGACACCCUUGUCAACAAUUAAAAGUGAAGCUUAUACAACCACAGCUGUGACCCCCACAACCACAAUCAUAUCUUCACCAACUGCAACUGCACAAUCUUCAACAACUGAAGCUUCAACAAUCGCAGCCAGAAACCCCACAACCAUGCCUGUAUUCUCUCUACCUCCAGUGACAAAA